rnacentral:rRNA from 1 species
CGCCCGAACGCGAAGAACCUUACCUACUCUUGACAUCCACGGAAUUUGGCAGAGAUGCCUUAGUGCCUUCGGGAACCGUGAGACAGGUGCUGCAUGGCUGUCGUCAGCUCGUGUUGUGAAAUGUUGGGUUAAGUCCCGCAACGAGCGCAACCCUUAUCCUUUGUUGCCAGCGAUUCGGUCGGGAACUCAAAGGAGACUGCCGGUGAUAAACCGGAGGAAGGUGGGGAUGACGUCAAGUCAUCAUGGCCCUUACGAGUAGGGCUACACACGUGCUACAAUGGCGCAUACAAAGAGAAGCGACCUCGCGAGAGCAAGCGGACCUCACAAAGUGCGUCGUAGUCCGGAUCGGAGUCUGCAACUCGACUCCGUGAAGUCGGAAUCGCUAGUAAUCGUGAUCAGAAUGCAUGAUC